rnacentral:sRNA from 1 species
AUGGCUGUCGUCAGCUCGUGCCGUGAGGUGUAGGGUUAAGUCCUGAAACGAGCGCAACCCUCGGCGUUAGUUAGAUAGUCUAACGCGACUGCCCGCGACAAGCGGGAGGAAGGCGGGGAUGACGUCAAGUCAGCAUGGCCUUUAUGUCCAGGGCGACACACACGCUACAAUGGUCGGUACAGUCGGUAGCCAACCCGCAAGGGGGAGCCAAUCCACAAAGCCGACCUCAGUUCAGAUUGUGGGCUGCAACCCGCCCACAUGAAGUCGGAGUUGCUAGUAACCGCGCGUCAGCAUAGUGCGGUGAAUACGUUCCCGGGCCUUGUACACACCGCCCGUCACGUCAUGGGAGCUGGUUACGCCUGAAGCCGGUGAGCCAACCGCAAGGAGGCAGCCGUCCAAGGCAGAAUCGGUGACUGGGACGAAGUCGUAACAAGGUAGCAGUAGCGGAAGCUGCGGCUGGAUCACCUCCCUUCUAGAGAGACACCGUGUGAAAUGGGUGAAAGCGACGCGCAAGCGUUGGAGUAGCCCCCAAACACCAGUCCUCACACAGGGUUUUCCUAACCCUGGGUGCUUUUUCUUGCUUGUCACUCCGCAGUCGUGAAGGGUGCACCUUAACAGUAGAAUAAGAAGAGCGCGAGGUAGCGAGAAACGCAGAAAACAGCGAGUUCUCAGUAGAAGGUUCUCAGAGAGAAGCUACAAGAGCGCAGAGGGAAUGACUUGGCGAUAAGUGCCGACGAAGGACGCGGUACACUGCGAAAAGCUCCGGUAAGGUGUGUGCAACCGUUACAACCGGAGAUGUCCGAAUGGGGAAACCCGG